AACACUAGUCUAGGAGGGGGGCUUUCUCUGAAACAGAAACAAAGUGGUAAUACAGUAUCAGAAUAUUAAUUUCUUUGCAGUAAAGUUGUUGAGCUUGACCGCAGCAAAAAUAUUAACAUGACAAUAUUAUAACAGUGACUCCUUCAGUAUUUCACUUUGCAUCUCGUAGGACUUUAACUGGACCGGACAUACAUGGACUAAUCAAUUAGCGAAUAAAGCCUUACCAAAUUCAUCAGCGUUUCUUGCUGGCCCCCCUGUCGGAAGAAGAUCAAAUAUGAUGUCUUUUAAUCAGGCUCCGUGUUAUUGUCGUCAGUCCGGAGGGUCUAAGUCAUUGCAAAGAUAUGUACCCCCUCCGCUGCUCUGGGCUUCCGAGCUACUGACCCCAAAAUAGACAGUGUUUGGUCGGCCUACAUCUUUUGAGGGUUAUAGUUGUCACAGAAGGUUAUUAUUCUUUAAUGUUAUUCCAUGUAGUCUGUUUUUAGAGUUAAAUUUGCACAUACUAUAUUUCUUUCUGUUUGAAGUCAUGUAUUAAAAUUUAUAGUUUGUUUGCCGAGUCACAUGCGCACCGCUCUGGAAUGACUGCAACGAAACUCUCACAGCUCCGACUCAAAUUUCACGAUUGCACUUUAUUAAAGGGCCAGCACACUGUUUGCAAGCAUGCGUACGGAAACACACCUUUCACGGUAUUUAACUUUUAGAAGCGGAUAGUGUGGUGUCACAUCAACCACGGUUUAACCUUGAAGUUGACAUAACACGGUUCAUUAGCCUUACUUUUGCUUCCAAAUGGAAAAUGAGCAGAAUGCAGUCAAUAAACACACGCCAAACACCCGUUAAAACUUCCCUUAAGUUAAUAUUUUCUCCUUACCAAACAUAAUCACAUCCUUUUUUUAAAAAAAAAAAAUGUCAAUGUGAAAACAAGUCCAUAAAGAGCAGUUCCUUCCACAACAUCCUGGUCUGAGUUAACAAUUAAGGCAACUUGAUGUAGCUACAUAUACUGAUCAAGACGAUCCAUAAUAUCCGUUUCACAGCUGACAGUUUAGGUCUUAUAAAGAGGCUGUGGAGUUAUUUUAGAGAAUCGUUUUUUUUCAGUACGACAGCUUGAAACAUUUAAGGCCAAAUGGAGUCAAGAUACAACUGUAGGAAAUACAGAAUUGAAAGGGAAGUACUAGAUGAGCAAGGAUUGGAAGAGUUGGCACAGAGAAAACCGUAUGCUGACAUUCGACCAUCGGUAAUUAGUCAACUUAAACAUUCCUUGAGAUGUACAGUACCCAAACUUAAACAUGGUGUUUUGAGCACUUUCCCUGUGUUAUAUUGGCUGCCCAAAUACUCAAUCGGGGACUACGGCAUGCCAGAUCUCAUUUCUGGCAUCAGUGUUGGAAUAAUGCACCUACCACAAGGUAUGGCAUAUGCAUUACUGGCUUCGCUUCCUCCUGUAUUUGGCCUGUACACCUCCCUCUAUCCAGCAUUAAUUUACUUCUUUUUUGGAACAUCACGUCAUAUUUCAGUCGGUACAUUUGCUGUGCUUAGCAUCAUGGUGGGCAGUGUAACCGAGAGACUUGCUCCAGAUGGUGAUUUUCUGAAACUGAACGGUACCAACGUCACAACAGAGGUCGACGUAGCUGCCCGGGACUCGUACAGGGUGCAAGUCGCUGCUGCUACCACUGUUCUAGGAGGACUUAUUCAGGUUGUGCUUGGUUUGGUGAAGUUUGGUUUUGUGGGAACGUACUUGUCUGAACCGCUGGUGCGGGCAUACACGACGGCUGCUGGAGUCCACGCUGUGGUGGCGCAACUGAAAUACGUCUUUGGGGUGUCACCGGCACGCUUUAACGGGGUGUUGUCACUGGUGUAUACUUUAAAGGAUGUUUGCAGCUUGCUGCCUCAGACCCACCUCCCCACGCUCGUCGUCAGUGCCGUGUCCAUGGUGCUGCUGAUUGGGGCCAAGGAGCUCAACUCCUUCCUGAGCUCACGGCUGCCACUUCCCAUCCCAGUGGAGCUCAUCACAAUUAUGGCAGCAACGCUGACAUCAAACUAUGCUCACUUGAAUCGAAACUACACUAUCCCAGUUGUUGGAGAAAUUCCAAGUGGCUUAAGUCCUCCAGUUGUACCAGAUGCGGGCAUUUUUGGUGAAGUCAUUGGAGACGCUUUCGCCCUCGCACUUGUAGCCUAUGCCAUAUCAAUUUCACUUGGAAAAACAUUUGCACUGAAGCAUGGAUACAGAGUAGACAACAACCAGGAGCUGGUAGCCCUGGGUCUCAGCAAUACAGUUGGGGGUUUCUUCCAAUGCUACGCUGUAUGUGCAUCCAUGUCUCGGAGUCUCAUUCAAGAGAGCACUGGUGGAAAAACCCAAAUGGCCGGAAUAGCAUCAGCUAUAAUUGUCUUGGUGACAAUACUGAAACUUGGUCCACUAUUCCAGGAACUACCAAAGGCAGUACUGGCAUCUAUAGUCUUUGUGAACCUGAAGGGUAUCUUCAAACAAUACUCCGACAUUGUUAUUCUAUGGAGGAGUAACAAGACUGAUUUGGUUUUGUGGUUGGUCACCUGGGUGUCGACUCUGCUGUUUAAUCUGGAUCUGGGCCUCGCAGCUGCCAUUAUGUUUGCUCUUCUUACUGUUAUCUUCAGGACCCAGCGGCCAACAUACUCUGUUCUGGGAAAUGUUGAAGGUUCAGAGCUGUAUGUGGAUGUAGAGACCCACAAAGAGGCAAGAGAAAUUCCAGGUAUUACAAUAUUCCGCUCUUCUGCCACGGUAUAUUUUGCUAAUGCCGAACUGUACCUAGACGCUUUGAAAAAAAAGAGCGGACUUGACAUCAGUAAAAUGAUUAUCUACAAGAAGAGAGAGCAGGCCAAAGAGAAACGUAGACAAAAGAGAGAAGAGAGAUGGGCAAUGAGACAAGCUAAGAGAGAGAUUCAUGCUGAGCAGACAGCACUGUUCUCUGUGGAGAAAGAGGCCAAGUGCUUGAGAAACACAAGCGUGACGAGAGAGGCCACUGAAAAUGAUGAUGGGAACAGGAUGGACAGGGAAAACGCUACAGUCUUUGUAAAACCCACCACACCAGAUAGUCAGUGUAGAUGGGAAUACUUGAAAGGAGGAAAUUCAGCCGGUACCAGUUUAGAAUGGAAGUCUGAGCCGAUGGAUGGAGACGCCACAACUCUGGGCUCCAGCAACGAAGACACCCUGAGCCGCGACCUGCAGCGCAUCUCUGUCGGGUCUCUCGGCAAGUGGACCUGGGACAUCCACUCCAUUAUCCUUGACCUCUCCACGGCUAACUUUAUUGACACAGUGGCUGUAAAGACCAUGAAAAAUAUUUUCCAAGACUUCAGUGAGAUUGACAUUGGCAUUUACUUGGCUGGUUGUCAGGCUUCUGUGGUCCAACAGCUGGAGCUCGGCCACUUCUUUUCCCACUCGAUUACAAAGAGACAUCUCUUCGCCUCUGUCCACGAUGCCGUGCUCUACUGUCUGCACCGUCGCGGACAUGAGUCCUCAAUUGAUAUGGACAGCAGCACCAAGCUUUAGGAACUUGAGCCAAUCAGGACAUCCAGUUCUUGACAAAGAAGCUUGUUGACCUGGGAUUCAGCGAUGUCAGCUCUCUCCUGCGCCUCCUCCAUCUCAUGCUGAACUUUCCUGUACCUGGUCAGUCACCAACGAUAUCCAUCUAUUCAUUUUCUUGGCUGCUUAUCCUCAUGAGGGUCGCAGGGAGUGCUGGAGCCUAUCCCAGACGUCAAUGGGAAACCGGAGUGCCCGGAGAAAACCCACGCAGGCACGGGGAGAACAUGUAAACUCCCCACAGGCGGGUCCAGGAUUGAACCACUGUGAGUCCAACGCUUUAUCAGGUUGUAAAGAACUGCCGCAGUAGCUUGUUCAGAAGAAAGUCAUGAGGGAGCAUCGUAACUAUAAACACUGGCAAACGCGUGGAUAUUUAUAUGGUUAUGAUGAUUUAUAAUUGGAAUUCUGUGGUACACCUGUCCAACCUGAAACUGAAACUGUUUCAUUUUUUACAGUAAUUACAGUAAAUGCUAUUUCCCUAUUAAGUAGUAGUAGAAAGUCGAGAAGUGAGCUGAGGUUAGUGUCAGUGAAGUCAACUCCAAACACUUUGCAAAGAGCAGCAGUUUCUUUAGUUUGUUUAUUACUCCUUCCAUCCAUCCAUUUUCUUUGCCGCUUAUCCUCACGAGGGUCGCGGGGAGUGCUGGAGCCUAUCCCA